UCCCCCACAGAUGUGAUCCUUAUGCAUCAGUUCAGGCUUUGCAGCAGCACGCGACUCAGUCAAACAGUGAACAUCAGAGUAUUUUUGAAAUCUCAGGUGCUUUUUUGUUACUUUGGGCAGAGGAACAUGGAACAGUAACCAGAACACCCAAGACGACUCCCCACAAGCGGCUGCAACACAGUCUCCCAGAUGCCCAAGAGAACAGGAAUUUAUCUGGAUUGCUGCAUGCUUUGGCUGAGAUCUUCUUGCAGAGUUUCUGGAAUUACAUCAAAUAUCUUCAAAAAAUACAUUCUGCAAAAAUCUAAUGAGGACUGAAAUGGAAGUUUCAGGGGGGAGAAGAGUUCUUAUAUUGGUGGGCAUGGAGAGGAAGACAUGGAUUACUGUACAUCCCGAGUCAUCCUCUAAAACAUUACUAGAAAAAACUUUCUGGGAGCUGCAAUGUAUACACAAUAGCUGAUCACAUGAUAUAACAUUAUUUUAUUGAUGUUCAUUUGACAUGCAGAAUUCACUUGUGAUUUUUCCACAUGUAAGUAAUGUUUGUAAGUACUAAUCAUGAUAUUAAAAACUUACAGCAUCAUGAA